rnacentral:rRNA from 1 species
CCUACGGGAGGCAGCAGUUUCGAAUCAUUCACAAUGGGCGCAAGCCUGAUGGUGCGACGCCGCGUGAGGGAUGAAGGCCUUCGGGUUGUAAACCUCUGUCACCGGGGAAGAAACGCUUCAAGUUAACAGCUUGAAGCCUGACUUAACCCGGAGAGGAAGCAGUGGCUAACUCUGUGCCAGCAGCCGCGGUAAUACAGAGACUGCAAGCGUUAUUCGGAUUCACUGGGCGUAAAGGGUGCGCAGGCGGUUGGGUGUGUCAGAUGUGAAAUCCCGAGGCUCAACCUCGGAACUGCGUCUGAAACUACUCGACUAGAGUACUGGAGAGGGUAACGGAAUUCACGGUGUAGCAGUGAAAUGCGUAGAUAUCGUGAGGAACACCAGAGGCGAAGGCGGUUACCUGGACAGUUACUGACGCUCAGGCACGAAAGCAUGGGGAGCAAAAGGGAUUAGAUACCCCUGUAGUCCAUGCCCUAAACGGUGCACACUAGGUCUUAGCGGAUUCGACCCCACUAGGGCCCAAGCUAACGCGUUAAGUGUGCCGCCUGAGGACUACGGUCGCAAGACUAAAACUCAAAUGAAAUUGACGG